UCAGGAGCUACAAAGACCACCUGGAAGUCCUGGACAUUCACCACACCGACCAGGGCUGCUAUCCCACCUGCAUGGUCUGGUACCCACCGCUCACCAGGGAACUCUUCCUGCUUAUUUGCAACAGUGGCUACAAAGUGAAGCUUUUUAAUGCUACUACCAAAAUGUGCAGAAAGACGCUUCUGGGGCCAGCUUAUGGUUCCCCUAUUGAGCAGACACAAGUCCUCCCAGUGAGAAGCAUGGCGGAGCUACAGAAACGCUACUUGGUGUUUAUUAACAGAGACAAGGUGGGACUUCAGAUCUUACCAGUUGACGGCAAUCCACAUAAGACAUCUGCUAUUGUUUGCCACCCGAACGGGGUGGCCAGCAUGGCCGUUUCCUAUGACGGCCGCUACGCCUUCACUGCGGGAGGGCACGAUCGCUCGGUGGUGCAGUGGAAAAUCACCUUAAGAGUCACACCAAACCUAGGCUGGUCUUGAACUCAUGGGCUCAAGCCUUGGGCACCUAAAGUGUUGGGAUUACAGAUGUGAGCCACUGCACCCAGCUAGAACCUUCCUUCUGAAAUGUUUGUCUUCUUCUCAGUCGUCGUGGGAUCUGGAAUGGUAGAAAUUUAAGAAGAAGAAAAAAAGGCCUCUGCUUUCCAAUAGCUUUCGCCUGGCCAGAGUCCAGGCUUCUGAGAAUUUCAAUUUAAUCUGUGGUGGGGACAAAGGAUCAUUAUAAACUAAUUAUCACUUCA
rnacentral:sRNA from 1 species